CAUCAAUCAGCUGCCUCUUGCACACCCCCUACUGGGGAUGUGCCCGCAACCAAGUCACAGACCCUCGUGGAUUCAAGGGGAAGGAACAUCGACCUGACCUCUACAUAGGAGCAGAGGCCAACUUCACAAUGCAGAAGAGCAUGUAGGAUGGGAGAUCUUGUUGCAGCCAUCUUGGAAAAUGCAGUCUUCCAUAGAGGGUGAGGCAAAUGUCUAUGUGGGAAAGAUGUCCUCCUCUGCAUGAGGGAAUGACUCAGCCCAGGAAACUUGGGAUGUCUGCCUUCUGAGUUUUAUCCCCCCGAGUCCCCAGACCUGGGUUCUCUCACAGCUCCAGUCUACUUCAUCCUCCCUCUGACAGAGCACAAGGUG